ACGCAUCUUUUGUGAAAUACAUUCUGCUAUUGGACGUAAAGUUCCGAAGUGUACAUUAAUCUUCAAAAAAGAACAGGUCAAUUGUGACUAAAGACUAAAGUUGCUCGUGAAUUUUCAAUUUGCACACUACGUCCAUUCGUAAGCAUAAGAAGGCAAAAUGUCCAUCGAAUUAAAGACAUUACUGAAAGAAGCUCGUGAAUCCUUCAAGCAGCAUGAAUAUGUAGAAACCAUGAAAAAAUGCAAGAAGAUUUUAAAGAAUGUCAAAAACAAUUAUGCAGCAUUAGUUCUCUUAGCUGCUGCUAUGCAGGAGGUGGAAGAAUUCAAGUCACAAGUAGCAUUAGUGCUACAAAAAGCUGCAGAGGUUCAACCGACUAAUCCUGUAGCUUGGCAAGGUUUAGUAGCACACUAUGAAAAAGCACAAAAGGACAAUGACAAUUUGGAAAAGUUGGCUAUAGCUUAUUGCAAACUUUUACAAGUGGAUAAUGAUUCUCCCAAAUAUCUUCAAUUUUUAAACAAACUUUCUGAAAUUGUCCUGAAAAUCAAAAAUAAUGAUAUACUGUUUGAGGUAUUGAACACAUUGAAUAUACUACGGCAGCUUCCUGCCAAAGAGAAGACAAGUUUGAUUGACAAGACUCUAGCACAGACUCUAACAGAAUGUCCCAAUAUUCUGGAAAAGCAUAAAGAGUUAUUUGAGAAUGUAUUGGCAUCUGUAGUGAAAGAUACAGAUGUAGUGAAUAGACAUGAGUAUUAUAGGAUAUAUCUAAAGAUGUUAUAUGACGCAAAUAAAUUGAUACUUUUAUUGGAAGAAGCUAAGGAGAUGCACACUCAGUUCCCACAGGACAGUAUUCCUCUGGAAUGGAUGUGCGUUGUUUAUUAUGAAGAGACCAUAUUACGUGAAAAUAAACUUGAAAUUGAUAUAACUCCUUUCUGUGAUUCCCUCUUAAAGCUAAAUAUGAAAUGUGAAAUGGCAUUGGUUGUAAAAGCAGCAUAUUUUAUGUGCAUAGAUAAUUUGAUUAGCUCUCGCGAGUGUUUAAAUCAAGCGAUCUUGCUGAAUGCACAAUCAUUUUAUGCCUGGUUCUUGUUAUACAAAGUAUACUGCAAGCUUUAUUGUUGGAAGGAGGUUGAAGAAGCUUCUAAACAAGCACUACAAUUGCUGUCUCCUUCUUUGAAGGAUACUUUACAGCAUAACAUUAAAUUGACACUACUUGAAGCAAUGAGUAGAAGUAACAAUAGAGAGAAGUUAUUACAGGCGCGACAGAUGUGCAAGAAGUUGUUAGAAACAAAGUUCUCCAUGCAACUGCAACUGAUAUAUGCCCGGAUAAAUGCGUCGUUGGACGAGCCUGAAGCAAUCGCCAUACUAAAUGACUUGGAGUCCCAAGAUGAGAUUAAGAUUCAAGUUUUCAUCAUCAAAGCAUCAUAUCUGAAGAGACACAAGCACUUAGAGGAAGCCAUCAACAUCCUUGAACUAGCUCUAGAAAGUUCCGAGGCUUGGCUGUUGUUUGGUCAGAUAUAUUGGGAUAUGAACGACUAUAAUCACAGCCUGGUGGCUUUCUUGAACGGUAUCAAAGUGGAUCGCAACAAUUGGGAAUGCAUGAUCCAUCUGGGACGUUAUUAUUGUGAGUGCGCGAAUGAUAUAGAACGCUCGAGGAGAUGUUACCAGACGGCGUUGCAAAUCAAUCCAAACUCUGAGGAGGCUGGGAUCGGCCUGAGCACUGCUUAUCGGCUGCUCAAGAACACAGACGCUAACAUACAACUGCUGCAGAAUGUAACCAUGCAGGGCAUCGGCCCGAAGUGGGCAUGGCUUCAGUUGGGUCUACAGCACUUGGACAACGGAGAUGCGGUCGAAGCUAUCAAGGCAUUGCAGCAUGUCAUUCGAGCCGACCCUAAUGACAAUCACAGUUGGGAGUCUCUGGCGGAUGCGUAUUUAGUGCGCGGCGGACACAUGUCUGCGCUGAAGUCGUAUCAACGUGCGUUACAGCUCAGUCCGGGGUCCUUGUAUCCCAUGAUACAACUUGCAAAUAUCAAGCUGCUAAUCGGCCAACACAAAGAAGCUAAAGAGGACUUUGACAGCAUAUUGCAGAAUAACGAGCAAUAUAUACUCGCAUUAAAAGGCCUAGCUCAGACGUGUUUGGGUCUGGCGAGCGAGUGCACCUCGAAGUAUUUGCUAAGUCAAGCGAGAGAAAAUCUGCAGCAAGCGGCGGAUAGUCUGACGAGUGCUGUGAUGAUACGGAGCAAUCUGUCCUGCAAUUGGAAAUUAUUCAGUGACGUGUGUUAUAGAAUAGCCGCUAUGCCGAUGAAGUAUUGCUACUUGAAUGUGAAACCUAUUUUGGUAAAGUCCGAUAGUACUAAACAGUACAUCAAAGUUAAGGGAGAGGAAACACUCAAGUUAGCUAUAAGAUGCAUCUGCCGGGCGUUGUCGCUCACGCAAAAUUCCUCGUUGCUAUGGCACGAUUUAGCAUGCUGUUACUUGAUGCAACUGCGACGCAACUUCAUAAAGGACGUUGACAAGAGCGACGUGGCGACUAAGUGUCUCGCUGCGGCGAAACAGGCAGUCAAACUCAGUCCGCAGUCGUGGCUACAUUGGAAUCUCCUGGGUAUUGUUUGCAUGUCGCAGGACGUGAAAAACUACGCCUUGGCUCAGCAUUGUUUCGUCACGGCGAUCGACAGAGAACCGAACAACUCGAUAGCUUGGAGCAACCUCGGAACGUUGUACUUGCAUCUAGGAGACAUCUACAGAGCGAAUGAAGCGUACUCUCGAGCUCAACGCGCGGAUCCAAGUUACAUGAACAGCUGGAUUGGCCAAGGAUUGAUUGCGCAGCAGUCCCUGAGGAAAGAGGGCAUGGAGCUGUUUCAUCACUCGAUCCAAUUAGGCUACCACGACGAGGCGGCUCUGGGCUAUGCUCAUUGCGUGUUUCACAUCCUUCUGAAUCCCAUGCUAAACAAGGAACCAUCGUGCGACUACUUUAUAAAAAAUAUGUAUGCGAUACCUGCAGCGGCGGAUGUUCUUACCUGGUACAUAGAACGUGAGCCUGACGACGCUUACGCUUUGAACACCCACGGUUUGCUGUUAGAACGGCAGAAAUUGUACAACUCGGCGGCUAAGCGGUUCGCCGAGGCUUUGAAGGUAUGCAAAAGCGAGAGUUCAGAUAUGAUCCACAUCAAUCUGGCACGUGUCCUAAUUCAGCUGGGACAGUAUGACGAGGCGGUGCGGGUGUGCGAGCAAGUGAAACACGACAGUUUUAAUUCCCAAUGUCACUUGGCGUUGUCCUUGUUCAAAGCCGAGCAAUAUGAGAAGUCCUACGAGACGUACGAAUCAACUCUGCAUUGGCUGGCGGACAACGACACAGACAAAGCGUACGUCCUGUGCGCGAUGGGCGCGAUAGCUCAUACUUUCAACAAGAUAGACGCCGUGAAGACUCUGCUAUUCCAGUGCAUGCAUAUGUCUGAACCCGUGAUAACCGCUUACUUGGCGCUCGCGGCCUUAGGAAUUUUGCACAACGAUCUCGACCUGACUGCUCUGGUGCUGGAGGAGUUGCAGUCAUAUAAAAAUCACCCUGAGUAUGGCCAUCAUACCGUCACGAUGAAUGUGUAUUACCACAUCUCUAAGUGCGACAUCACCGAAGCUAUCCGAAUGUUGGCCAAAGGCAUUUACAAGUAUCCUAGUGACGUCAGAUAUUGGAUACGUCUCGUUCGGAUCUUGCUGUUGGACACGAAUCUGAGCAAGUUUCGCAAGUGCGCGGAGAAAGCCUUGAGUCUAAGCAAAAGUAACUCCACGCCCGAAAUUGUAUACGUCGCUUGCGCAUCAGCGUAUAGUCACCUGGGCACGAGGAAAGCUCUCAGGCAGGCUCAGAGGAAUGUGUUCACGUAUCCCGCCAAUAUCGAGAGCUGGGCCAACUUAAUUGCCGUUUUCUUGUACAGGUCAGCGCGCUGAGAUAGCGGUCGGGCGUCAUCCAUUUGACCACAUUGCGAUUGAUCAAAUGGGGGAAGAUUGUGGUGAAUCGCGACGAUGAGCAAGUGGAUGCCACCAAGUAUAUGGAAGAGGACUGUGAAAUUGAUAAACAAUGGUUGUCGUCGUUAAUAUCUGUAACAAUG
rnacentral:misc_RNA from 1 species